GAAAAAAUAAAUGAAAUUCAGAUUAAGAGUUAUCAAUGGUUUGGCAUUAUUAUUAUUAGUAAUAUGAGAGUGUGUAAGUCAAUAUAAAUAUAUCAAUUAAAUUCAAUAAAAUAAUGUAAUCCAAAUAGAUCAUGGAUAUAUAGAUAUCCAAAAAUCUCCCCUGUUUUACAUAGAUAUGAUGUAUAGAAUGCUCAGAUUUGCUGUAUAUAUGAGCCUGCAAUGUGUCUAAAGCUGGAAUAGCCAGUCUAAGAGAGAACUCAGGUUUAAUUCUUGCAGAAAACAUUGCUGGGAGGGGAUCUUCUGUGGACAACGGACAUAGAGAAUAACUUAAUGUACUAAAAAAAAUUAAACAAAAAAAAAAGCAAAAAAAUACUUCUUUGUGGCAGCGGCGGCGUAGGAGUCAGCGUGUCUGCCUCCUCCGCCCAGAAAUCACAGAGAAUAGAAAGCUAAGUAGUUUAGCUACGAACAAGCAUAAGAGACACAAAGAAGAUACAGCCAUCAACAAUGCAAAACAAAGGACAAUCUUUGAGGUUACUUCAUCCAAGAUUCUGGUAAACAGUUUGUUAUUCAUGGAUGAAGUGGUGUAACGAAAAGAUUGAUCAAAGAGGAGAAGUGAAA
rnacentral:misc_RNA from 1 species